rnacentral:misc_RNA from 1 species
UUGCUUUUAAUUUUUUUGUUUUGACUCAGAAGUAAUACACGAUUUAUUCAAGAGUUUAAGAUUGGGCUAUCGACGAACGCGGGCCAGAGAACCUUUUGAGGGGCUCUCCGGCGGUCUUUGCAGACGGGUCCGCCGAAGCAACGUUGGUUUGGUAAACAAAGGGUUGGGAGGUCGAGCCUGUAAAAGACCCUCACUCUUUAAUGAUCCUUCCGCAGGUUCACCUACGGAAA